GACGAACGCUGGCGGCGCGCUUAACACAUGCAAGUCGAACGGAAAGGCCUGCUUUCCCUUGUGGAUUGCGGGUACUCGAGUGGCGAACGGGUGAGUAACACGUGAGUGAUCUGCCCCCAACUUGGGUAUAAGCCUGGGAAACUGGGUCUAAUUCCCGAUAGGACUGCAGGGUGGUGCCUGUGGUGGAAAACGAUUUUCUAGUGGUUGGGGAUGAGCUCGCGGCCUAUCAGCUUGUUGGUGGGGUAAUGGCCUACCAAGGCGGCGACGGGUAGCCGGCCUGAGAGGGUGGACGGCCACAGUGGGACUGAGAUACGGCCCAGACUCCUACGGGAGGCAGCAGUGGGGAAUAUUGCACAAUGGGCGGAAGCCUGAUGCAGCGACGCCGCGUGGGGGAUGACGGCCUUCGGGUGGUAAACUCCUUUCGACCGCGAGGAAGCCACCUGGUUGGGAGGGUGGUGACGGUAGUGGUAGAAGAAGCACCGGCUAACUACGUG
rnacentral:rRNA from 1 species